rnacentral:rRNA from 1 species
GAUGAACGCUGGCGGCGUGCCUAAUACAUGCAAGUCGAGCGAACAGAUAAGGAGCUUGCUCCUUUGACGUUAGCGGCGGACGGGUGAGUAACACGUGGGUAACCUACCUAUAAGACUGGAAUAACUCCGGGAAACCGGGGCUAAUGCCGGAUAACAUUUAGAACCGCAUGGUUCUAAAGUGAAAGAUGGUUUUGCUAUCACUUAUAGAUGGACCCGGGCCGUAUUAGCUAGUUGGUAAGGUAACGGCUUACCAAGGCAACGAUACGUAGCCGACCUGAGAGGGUGAUCGGCCACACUGGAACUGAGACACGGUCCAGACUCCUACGGGAGGCAGCAGUAGGGAAUCUUCCGCAAUGGGCGAAAGCCUGACGGAGCAACGCCGCGUGUGUGAUGAAGGUCUUCGGAUCGUAAAGCUCUGUUAUUAGGGAAGAACAAAUGUGUAAGUAACUGUGCACGUCUUGACGGUACCUAAUCAGAAAGCCACGGCUAACUACGUG